rnacentral:rRNA from 1 species
GACGAACGCUGGCGGCGUGCUUAACACAUGCAAGUCGAGCGGUAAGGCCCUUUCGGGGGUACGACGAGCGGCGAACGGGUGAGUAACACGUGGGUGACCUGCCCUCCAGCUCUGGGGUAAGGACCCGGGAAACCGUAGGGUCGUAAUACCGGAUAUGACUUCAUGACGCAUGUUGUGGAGUGGAAAGCCUUGUGCGGCUGAGGAUGGGCCCGGCCGGCCUAUCAGCUUGUUGGUGGGGUGAUGGCCUACCAAGGCGACGACGGGUAGCCGGCCUGAGAGGGCGACCGGCCACACUGGGACUGAGAUACGGCCCAGACUCCUACGGGAGGCAGCAGUGGGGAAUCUUGCGCAAUGGGCGAAAGCCUGACGCAGCGACGCCGCGUGAGGGAUGACGGCCUG